rnacentral:rRNA from 1 species
UACGGAGGAUGCGAGCGUUAUCCGGAUUUAUUGGGUUUAAAGGGUGCGUAGGCGGCGAGUUAAGUCAGCGGUAAAAGCCCGGGGCUCAACCCCGGCCCGCCGUUGAAACUGGGUGCCUUGAGUGGGCGAGAAGUACGCGGAAUGCGUGGUGUAGCGGUGAAAUGCUUAGAUAUCACGCAGAACCCCGAUUGCGAAGGCAGCAUACCGGUGCACAACUGACGCUCAGGCACGAAAGCGUGGGUAUCGAACAGG